AACCUAGCACACCUGCGGUGUGUACCUGCGGAGGGAUCAUUAACAAGCCUGUGAAGAUCUACCCCCCAAAGGGGUGUGAUCUUUCAUCCGGCCACCCUUGUUUACUUUAAACCUGUUGCUUUGGUGGGCCCGCGAAAAACGCCGCUGGGGGACCUAGUCUCCGGGUGAGUGCUCACCAAAGUCCUAUUGAACUCUUGAAGUUAUGCUGUCUGAGCAUGCCGAAAAUGGUUAGAUAAAACU
rnacentral:misc_RNA from 1 species